GAUGAACGCUGGCGGCGUGCUUAACACAUGCAAGUCGAACGGAAAGGCCCUGCUUUUGUGGCGUGCUCGAGUGGCGAACGGGUGAGUAACACGUGAGUAACCUGCCCUUGACUUUGGGAUAACUUCAGGAAACUGGGGCUAAUACCGGAUAGGAGCUCCUGCUGCAUGGUGGGCGUUGGAAAGUGUCGGCGGUUGUAGAUGGACUGGCGGCUUAUCAGCUUGUUGGUGGGGUAGUGGCUUACCAAGGCUUUGACGGGUAGCCGGCCCGAGAGGGUGGCCGGCGACAUUGGGACUGAGAGACGGAGCAGAAGGCAACGGGAGGCAGCAGUGGAGAGUAUUGCACAAUGGGCGGAAGCCUGAUGCAGAAGCGCCGCGUGCGGGAUGACGGCCUUCGGGUUGUAAACCGCUUUGGCCGGUGACGAGGCGUGAGUGACGGUAAUGGGUAAAGAAGCACCGGCUAACUACGUG
rnacentral:rRNA from 1 species